UACAGAGGGUGCAAGCGUUGUUCGGAAUUAUUGGGCGUAAAGGGCGCGUAGGCGGUUCGGCAAGUCUCUAGUGAAAUCUCUGGGCUCAACUCAGAGUCUGCUGGGGAAACUGCCGGGCUUGAGUGUGGGAGAGGAGAGUGGAAUUCCCGGUGUAGCGGUGAAAUGCGUAGAUAGUUGGGAGGAACGACCCGGUGGCGAAGGCGGCCCCCUGGACCGGUACUGGACGCUGAGGCGCGAAAGCGUGGGUAGCAAACGGG
rnacentral:rRNA from 1 species